rnacentral:sRNA from 1 species
GCGUCCCUCCGCCCGCCCUCGGAAGACCGAGACAGCGGAGAGGUUGCGGGUGAGCUCCGCUGAGCCCAGGAGCCGAGGAGGGAGCGCAGCGCAGCCCGAGCCCGAGCGGCCCCGCGUCCCGAGCGCAUCGGAGCGGCCGAGCCGCCCGGCGCAGCGCCUGUCCCGGGCAGCGCAGCCCCGGCCGCAGGAUCUCACCCAGGGUGGCAGAAGGAGGCCUUCUGGAGCUGACCCACCCCCGACGACCAUCAGGGUGAGGCAACUCCAAGGUCCUACUCUCUUUCUGUGCCUGUUACCCACCCCGUCCUCCUAGGGUGCCCUUGAGCCGCAAAACUGCUGUCCACGUGGACUGGGGGUGACAUCGCACGUCCAUCUGCCAGGACCCCUGCGUCCAAAUUCCGAGACAUGGCGACCAACGGCAGCAAGGUGGCCGACGGGCAGAUCUCCACCGAGGAGCCUUCCUGAUCCCCUAUUUCCUGACACUCAU